UGAUAUCGUUCUAGGCGCAAAAUUUUAUCGACAUUAUGCGACUAAAUAAAAUACACCCUUUCCCGGUACUACUUACUACGGGUGCGGCAUACUUUUGCACAUAUACGCAUUAUACUUGAUUUUGCUGUUUGUCUGUGGUGAAGUGAAGUGCCAUAGUUUCUUUGUUGGUAAACAAAGCCGUAUUAAAAUAUUAAUAAAAAAAUUGGUUUCGUUGGAUCAAAGUACUUGCUACUGCUAGUUUUUUGUUUUCAAUAGAAGUAAUUAAUUAAUCAUUUUAUCGUAUACAUUUUUAUUAGUGUUAAUAGUUAAUUUAUCAAAGUAAACGGCCACUUUUACAUAAAACAUUAUCUACACGAAAGUUCUUCAAAGUUUUAUCGUCUGCCUAUGAUUAAUUUAAUGGUCGUUGUGAUAAUAUGUAAAGUAUAUUGUAUAGUGUUUUGUUUAUUAAAGUUCAUCGCUUGCAACUAAAGAUGUCCGGGAAACUCAAUGAUCGCCUUGGCUUGGAUCAAACUUGGCGAUGGGUUGUUUUGGAGGGCCUUUGGAAAGUCAGGCUACUAAAUAAACCUUCCGUGUUCGCGUCUGCCAGUGGCGUUGUAUCAACAUGAAGAUGUGGGCUCUAAACUUUGAGUGCCAGGGACUGACUAUGGAAGUCUCCAUGUCGCUGGUCACCAUUGAGGUGCAAAACACCUUGAAAAAAUUGGUGAUUCUGAAUCCUUCAUCUCUAUGAACGAUUCAUGAAGAAAGAAUUAAACAAACAUUUAAUGAACAGAUUUUUUAUAAGAUUAUUAUCAAUAAUGACAUUGCAUAUGAGAGAAAAUUGUCAAAUAUAAUUUCAUUUUAAUUUAAUAUAGUUAAUUAUGACAUCACUGUAUAUAAAGAAUAUGAUUAUUAUCAUUUGGUUAAUUUCAGUAUUACAUAGUAUUAGAUAAAAAUUUUAUUGUAAAAUUGCACAUCAAAAUAUGUUUUAUUAUCUAUUAUUAGGAGGAAAUAUUAUUUAACUAUUAUUAUUAUCCCUAAUAGCCCAGUGAAUGUGACCUCUGCCUCCAAUUCCGGAGGGUGUGGGUUCGAACCCGUUCCGGGGCACGCACCUCCAACUUUUCAGUUGUGUGCAUUUUAAGAAACUAAAUAUCACGUGUCUCAAACAGUGAAGGAAAACAUCGUGAGGAAACCUGCAUACCAGAGAAUUCUCUUAAUUCUCUGCAUAUGUAAUAAUAAUAAUAAUAAUAAUAAGCUUUAUUUUCCCAUUUAACUUAACAAUACUUAACAAUAUCUUAAAACUAUUCUAACUAAUCUAUAUAUUCAUCUAAAUAGUUAAUUUAUGUACUAGUUAAUAAUGGGCCCCUUCGGGUAUAAGCCUCCUCCAUCUUUUUCCAAUUGUCCCUUUCUUUUGUGAGUUCCAUCCAACCUUGGCCAGCCACUGCGGUAAUGUCAUCUACCCACCUUCCUAUAGGCCUUCCUACCUUCCUUUUACCAAGUGGACCUUUCCAGUAGGUAAUUUUCUUAGUCCACCGUUUGUCCUUUAGCCUGCCAAGGUGGCCUGCCCAUCUCCACUUAAGUCUUUGUGCAUGGUCCAGAGCAUCUGUGAGAUUAGUUUUUUUCCUAAUAAUCAUACUGUUUAUUUUGUCAGCUUUUUUUAGUUUCAAGAUACUCCUUUCCAUUGCACGUUGUGUGGUGAUGAGUUUAUGCCUCGAACUUGUGUUGUAGACCCAUGUUUGGCAGGCGUAGGUUAGGCAAGGUAGAAUAGUUGUCUCCAUUUCAACCCUUUUUAAAUUAACAGUGUAAUUUCCUUUGAAAAUUUCUUUAUGAGCCCAGAACUUUUUCCAUGCUAUAUUUGCUCUUCUUUCCACCUCUGCUUUAUUGUUGUCCUUGUUAAAAGAAAUUUGCUUUCCUAAAUAAACAUAGUUCUUUACAUAUUCUAUUAUCUUAUUGUCUAUUUCUACCGGUUUUUGGUGGUGGUUGGUCAUUAUUUUUGUUUUGAUAAAGUUAAUCUGUAACCCUACUUUUUUGCUUUCUACACUCAGCGUCUUUAUCAUUUCUUGAAGUUCUGAGGCUGAUUUAGCAAAUACUGCAAUGUCGUCUGCGAAUCUUAGGUGACUUAAGAAUUGGUCUAUGAUCCAGAUUCCCUUCUUUUUCCAGUUUAAUGUUUGAAAUACAUUUUCUAAUACUGCAAUAAAUAAUUUUGGUGACAGUGGGUCACCUUGUCUGACACCUCUUUGUAUUGCAAUUUCUUCGCCUUUAUUUUCUAGUUUGAUUCUACUAGUUGUGUUUGAGUAAAUAUUUUUAAUAAUGUCUAUAUAUGUGUUGUUUAUAUCACAUGUUUCUAAUGCUUUCCAAAUUGAGCUGUGGUAGAUGCUGUCAAAGGCCUUGAAGUAGUCAAUGAAGGCAAUAUAAAGUGGUUGAUUGUAUUCACUGAAUUUUUCUAUUAUUUGCUCGAUUGUGUGGAUAUGGUCAGUUGUAGAAAACCCUUCACUUCUGCAUAUGUGAUGUCUGCCAAUGUAAUCCAAAUAUGCUGGCCCAUAUUCGGCUCCUGUCAGAAUGAGAGGGGUUAGGCAUUGGCCUUCCCUUACCUUAUCAGCCGAUAGACGUCCACUGCUGGACAUAGGCCUCUUACAUGGACCUCCAAGCACAACGACCUUGAGCCGCGAACAUCCAACCAACCGACCAACCACGCUUUCCAGUGCGGGGUCUCCCGAGUGCGGGUAGGCACUAACCCCUCUUACUGGGGGAGACUCGAGCUCAGCAGUGAGCCGAAUAUGUGUUUAUAAUGAUGAUGAUGAUGAUGAUGAUGAUGAUGAUGAUGAUGAUGAUGAUGAUUAUUUAAGUAAUUGUAAAAGAAAAAAUUGAAUACUACAUUAGUUGUUUAUCUAUACAAUUCAAUAAUUUUAAGAACAAAACAUGUACCUACCACAUUGUAGGAAAUAAAUAAAUAAUGAUUUGAUUAAAAACAAUGUUGUUUAAUGUUAAGCAGGUAGGGCCAGGUAGUUCUAUAUUUGUGUAACAUCUAUUACUUAAAAAUAAAAAAUAUAUUUACUUGUG